rnacentral:rRNA from 1 species
UACGAAGGGGGCUAGCGUUGCUCGGAAUCACUGGGCGUAAAUCUCACGUAGGCGGAUCUUUAAGUCAGGGGUGAAAUCCCAAGGCUCAACCUUGGAACUGCCUUUGAUACUGGGGAUCUCGAGUCCGGAAGAGGUGAGUGGAACUGCGAGUGUAGAGGUGAAAUUCGUAGAUAUUCGCAAGAACACCAGUGGCGAAGGCGGCUCACUGGUCCGGUACUGACGCUGAGGUGCGAAAGCGUGGGGAGCAAACAGG